UACUCGAGUGGCGAACGGGUGAGUAACACGUGGGCAAUCUGCCCUGCACUUCGGGAUAAGCCUGGGAAACUGGGUCUAAUACCGGAUAGGACCUUUAGACGCAUGUCUUUUGGUGGAAAGCUUUUGCGGUGUGGGAUGGGCCCGCGGCCUAUCAGCUUGUUGGUGGGGUGAUGGCCUACCAAGGCGACGACGGGUAGCCGGCCUGAGAGGGUGUCCGGCCACACUGGGACUGAGAUACGGCCCAGACUCCUACGGGAGGCAGCAGUGGGGAAUAUUGCACAAUGGGCGCAAGCCUGAUGCAGCGACGCCGCGUGGGGGAUGACGGCCUUCGGGUUGUAAACCUCUUUCACCAUCGACGAAGGUUCGGGUUUUCUCGGAUUGACGGUAGGUGGAGAAGAAGCACCGGCCAACUACGUGCCAGCAGCCGCGGUAAUACGUAGGGUGCGAGCGUUGUCCGGAAUUACUGGGCGUAAAGAGCUCGUAGGUGGUUUGUCGCGUUGUUCGUGAAAUCUCACGGCUUAACUGUGAGCGUGCGGGCGAUACGGGCAGACUAGAGUACUGCAGGGGAGACUGGAAUUCCUGGUGUAGCGGUGGAAUGCGCAGAUAUCAGGAGGAACACCGGUGGCGAAGGCGGGUCUCUGGGCAGUAACUGACGCUGAGGAGCGAAAGCGUGGGGAGCGAACAGGAUUAGAUACCCUGGUAGUCCACGCCGUAAACGGUGGGUACUAGGUGUGGGUUUCCUUCCUUGGGAUCCGUGCCGUAGCUAACGCAUUAAGUACCCCGCCUGGGGAGUACGGCCGCAAGGCUAAAACUCAAAGGAAUUGACGGGGGCCCGCACAAGCGGCGGAGCAUGUGGAUUAAUUCGAUGCAACGCGAAGAACCUUACCUGGGUUUGACAUGCACAGGACGCGUCUAGAGAUAGGCGUUCCCCCGGAAUACUUAA
rnacentral:rRNA from 1 species